rnacentral:rRNA from 1 species
UACAGAGGUGGCAAGCGUUGUUCGGAAUUACUGGGCGUAAAGGGCUCGUAGGCGGCCAACUAAGUCGGAUGUGAAAUCCCCAGGCUUAACCUGGGAAUUGCAUCCGAUACUGGAUGGCUUGAAUCCGGGAGAGGGAUGCGGAAUUCCAGGUGUAGCGGUGAAAUGCGUAGAUAUCUGGAGGAACACCGGUGGCGAAGGCGAGUCCCUGGACAACUCCUGACACUGAGGCACGAAAGCGUGGGGAGCAAACAGG